rnacentral:misc_RNA from 1 species
UGGGUUUCAAGGUUGAUUAUGCCAGUCCAAUAUACAAGCGUUUUCGCCUGAAAGUAUUGGGUGAGUCCUAUAACCGUGGUGAAAAAAUCAACAUUUCUAAACUUGGAGCAGAUCCAGGCUUGUCCCGUGAAGUUGCUUCAGAGGUACAGUCAUCCCAACAGGUAGAUAAUUCCCAUGCACGUGCAUACCGCUGCAAGAAAUGUCGAAGACUGGUUGCCUUGCUGGAAAAUGUGGUGGACCACAUCCCUGGGGAAGGUGAGACUUCCUUUGACUGGUAUAAGAGAAAAAGUGGAAACCCUUUUAACAAGUCAGGGGAACCUGAGUGUUCAUCCAUUUUUGUCGAG